rnacentral:rRNA from 1 species
CCUACGGGAGGCAGCAGUGAGGAAUAUUGGUCAAUGAACGAGAGUCUGAACCAGCCAAGUAGCGUGAAGGAUGACUGCCCUAUGGGUUGUAAACUUCUUUUAUAUGGGAAUAAAAUGUUCCACGUGUGGGAUUUUGUAUGUACCAUAUGAAUAAGGAUCGGCUAACUCCGUGCCAGCAGCCGCGGUAAUACGGAGGAUCCGAGCGUUAUCCGGAUUUAUUGGGUUUAAAGGGAGCGUAGGUGGAUUGUUAAGUCAGUUGUGAAAGUUUGCGGCUCAACCGUAAAAUUGCAGUUGAAACUGGCAGUCUUGAGUACAGUAGAGGUGGGCGGAAUUCGUGGUGUAGCGGUGAAAUGCUUAGAUAUCACGAAGAACUCCGAUUGCGAAGGCAGUUCACUGGACUGCAACUGACACUGAGGCUCGAAAGUGUGGGUAUCAAACAGGAUUAGAUACCCCAGUAGUC